AUUGUUUAAUUUGGGUUUAUGCAAUAAGCGAAUAUAUAAAAAAAAAUCUGUUCUUAUCAGUUUAAUAUCUGAUAAAUCUACUCUCCGAGGACCAUAUAUUAAUCUGAUUUUUUGGGUGCAGGAAGAGGGGGCUUGCUCCGUCAAGCUCACCUUGUCCCGACCGGUAUUGCAGCGACUCCGGGGGUGCAUCCCGCU